rnacentral:rRNA from 1 species
AUUGAACGCUGGCGGCAGGCCUAACACAUGCAAGUCGAGCGGAUGACGGGAGCUUGCUUCUUGAUUCAGCGGCGGACGGGUGAGUAAUGCCUAGGAAUCUGCCUGGUAGUGGGGGACAACGUUUCGAAAGGAACGCUAAUACCGCAUACGUCCUACGGGAGAAAGUGGGGGAUCUUCGGACCUCACGCUAACAGAUGAGCCUAGGUCGGAUUAGCUAGUAGGUGAGGUAAUGGCUCACCUAGGCGACGAUCCGUAACUGGUCUGAGAGGAUGAUCAGUCACACUGGAACUGAGACACGGUCCAGACUCCUACGGGAGGCAGCAGUGGGGAAUAUUGGACGAUGGGCGAAAGCCUGAUCCAGCCAUGCCGAGUGUGUGAAGAAGGUCUUCGGAUUGUAUAGCACUUUAAGUUGGGAGGAAGGGUAUUCACCUAAUACGUGGGUACUUUGACGUUACCAACAGAAUAAGCACCGGCUAACUCUGUGCCAGCAGCCGCGGUAACAC